GGCAUUAGAAGAGCAAGAGGAGGAAGGAAGAUGGCCACAAAAGAAGUAAAGCACAAUCGGGAAUAAAACAGUGUUGUAACGGCUGUUAGAGCAACCAGUGCUAUAGCAAAUUGGGCGCAGUGCAGGAGAAAAUUUAGGCGCGAGUCAACCCUAAAGUCGCGAUCUGCAUGUUUCCUAAUUUAAACACAUGCACGCUCAUGGCUUUGGUUUUAACCUAAUUUGCAAUAUAAAAAGGAGGCGUGCACCACAUAGAAGGGCGGCAAGGAAUUAUCAUUAGAGUAAUUAGAAGGAACGAAGGAGAAGAAGAUCAGAAUUGAAGAGUGUUGUUACGGCAACAUUGGACAAUCGUGCAGAAUUACUUGACUUUGAUUUUCAUGUGCUCAACUUAUAUUUAUCUUUUUCCUUUAAUUGAUUUGAUGUAUUCCGAGACCAAUAUAUUUGUGUUUAUUUUUCUCAUCUAGAUUACAA
rnacentral:lncRNA from 1 species